rnacentral:rRNA from 1 species
CAGCCGCCACGGGAAAACGAAGGGGGCUAGCGUUGUUCGGAAUUACUGGGCGUAAAGCGCGCGCAGGCGGUUUUCCAAGUCAGUGGUGAAAGCCCGGAGCUCAACUCCGGAACUGCCAUUGAAACUGUUGAACUUGAGGACGAGAGAGGUGAGUGGAAUUCCCAGUGUAGAGGUGAAAUUCGUAGAUAUUGGGAAGAACACCGGUGGCGAAGGCGGCUCACUGGCUCGUUUCUGACGCUCAGGCGCGACAGCGUGGGGAUCAAACAGGAUUAGAUACCCGAGUAGUCCCUGUCUCUUAUAA